rnacentral:tRNA from 1 species
GAGGGUAUAGCUCAAGUGGUAGGGCGCAUGCUUAGCAUGCACUAUAUCCUGGGUUCGAUCCCCAGUACCUCCU